rnacentral:rRNA from 1 species
UACGUAGGGUGCGAGCGUUGUCCGGAAUUAUUGGGCGUAAAGAGCUCGUAGGCGGCUUGGCAAGUCGGGUGUGAAACCUCCAGGCUCAACCUGGAGACGCCACUCGAUACUGCUAUGGCUAGAGUCCGGUAGGGGACCACGGAAUUCCUGGUGUAGCGGUGAAAUGCGCAGAUAUCAGGAGGAACACCGAUGGCGAAGGCAGGUCACUGGGCCGCAACUGACGCUGAGGAGCGAAAGCAUGGGGAGCGAACAGG